CCUACGGGAGACAGCAGUAGGGAAUUUUCGUCAAUGGGCGCAAGCCUGAACGAGCAAUGCCGCGUGAACGAGGAAGGUCUUCGGAUCGUAAAGUUCUGUUGAAGGGGAAAAAGAGCGGAGAGAGGAAAUGGUCUCCGAUUGAUAUUACCCUUCGAGGAAGUCACGGCUAACUACGUGCCAGCAGCCGCGGUAAUCCGUAGGUGGCGAGUGUUAUCCGGAAUGAUUGGGCGUAAAGGGUGCGUAGGCGGCCUGCUAAGUCUGGAGUGAAAGGUACCGGCUCAACCGGGAGAGGCUCUGGAAACGGGCGGACUGGAGAGCAGGAGAGGGCGGUGGAACUCAAUGUGUAGCGGUAAAAUGCGUAGAUAUAUGGAAGAACACCAGUGGCGAAGGCGGCCGCCUGGCCUGUUACUGACGCUGAGGCACGAAAGCGUGGGGAGCAAAUAGGAUUAGAUACCCCAGUAGUC
rnacentral:rRNA from 1 species